AUACGUAGGGGGCGAGCGUUAUCCGGAAUUAUUGGGCGUAAAGAGUACGUAGGUGGUCUUUUAAGCGCAGGGUUUAAGGCGAUGGCUCAACUGUCGUUCGCCCUGUGAACUGGAAGACUUGAGUACAGGAGAGGAAAGCGGAAUUCCUAGUGUAGCGGUGAAAUGCAUAGAUAUUAGGAGGAACACCAGUGGCGAAGGCGGCUUUCUGGACUGUAACUGACACUGAGGUACGAAAGCGUGGGGAGCAAACAGGAUUAGAUACCCUGGUAGUCCACGCCGUAAACGAUGAGCACUAGGUGUCGGGGUCGCAAGAUCUCGGUGCCGCAGUUAACGCAUUAAGUGCUCCGCCUGGGGAGUACGCACGCAAGUGUGAA
rnacentral:rRNA from 1 species